CUUCAGCAGGGCUUCACUGCUUUGGUUUUCUGUGGGCUCCCUGGGAACAGGCCCUUAUUCAUAUUGGACAGCACUGCAUGCAAAAACCCCAAACAAGUUGGCUGCCCAGCACAAGGAGGGCACUUUGAGCAUUUGCCAUAUGGACUACACUAAAUCAUUCCAAUUACAAGUUUUUUCAAUAUCAAGCCAAGAAGAGCGCUCAGAGGAAGAAGAAUAAAGCAAGGACAGGAUUCCUUUAAAGCUGCAGCCCAGGAGUGAAAGGAGAACAAAGAAAGGCAGCCCACUGCUGCUGCAAG